GUCCUCCGCCGCCGUAUCCACCGAUGUCGGGAUAUUCAUAUGGGAACUACCCUCGCCCCUCUCCUCCGCCGCCGCCGCCGCCGUAUCUACAGCCGUACAGAGAUCAUUACUAUGGAGGAGAAGGAGAAUAUAUAAGCUGCUUCUCUUUUCUAAGAUCUUGUUUGGCGACGCUUUGCUGUUGCUGGGUCUUGGAGAGGUGCUGCUUGCCCCGUCGUUACUAAAUCCCCAAAUAUCUCCUUAAUUAUACCUUAUUAUAGUCUAAAGUUCGAGUUUUAUUAUUCUCCAUGUAAUAAAUAAUCAAAUGAUGAGACUAUAUAUUAAUCUUUUUGUUUCUUUGAAAAAAUGCAUUGCAAAUCAUUGUUGGACCAAAAAUAUAUUAUUUGGUGUGUGUGUAUAUAUAACCUCGACAUGAUUAUUAUAAUCCAAAGUGUAUGUGUAAUAAA